GAAUAUAUGUGGUUUUAGUUUUUUUCAAUUUUGCGAACAAUGUUGUAUAGAAGGGCCUAUUACAUGAUUCUCUAUGGUUUAAGGGUUUAAUUUAAAAAAUUGAAAGUAAAUGGGGCCAUUGGCAACUGCUCCAGACCAGAGCUCAAGAGGUACCUUCCAAAUUCAGCUAUCAACCUCACCUUUUUUUUAGUUUUUCCUGGAAAUGAUGUAUGAUAUUUAUGCAAAUCUUUUCUAGGUAUUCUAUGUUAAUGAUAACUGAAAAUGAUAUCAUCUCAACUUACUGAUAUUUCAUCUUUGCUUGUCAAACAAAAGUUGCAAAUUUCGCAAAUCAGGAAUACGUUGUGUCAGCCUUGAGAUGACUUUUCUUGGUUAAGCAUGCAAAUAAGGUCAACAACCUAUGUUCUUGAGCUGAAAGAACUAUCUAUUCUGUCCCUUUCCAGGAAAAUAUGUUAGGUCAUCCUUGAAAGAUGAUUUAACAUGCAAAUAAGGUCAACCACUUGUAUCGACCUGAUACAUAGGUUAACUAACUUGGUUUUGACUGGUAUUCUGAGUGGAAAAGUAUGUUAGGGGAUUCUUGAAAAUUUUUAUCAUGAAGGAUGCUGAUAAGGUCAAUCACCUGAAUCCAUUUGAUACAGAGAUAAAACUCUCAUGGUCUUUGACCUCACAUGCACACUUUUAUAACCAACAACUAUUGCAUCAUAGAUGUGAAUGUAUAUCAAAAGUUUGAAAUUUUGUUUGGAGUUUCUUGAUGACUAAAUAUUUUUCUGAAAUUUUUUUUUUUAUCUUUUCCUGGAAGUUCUCCUUUGGGCAUCUUGCACAGCUAAAAUAUUUACUUUGUGAAGCCGUGCAAAUCGAUAAAAUUCUUGUGUAUGACAAGAAAACUCUAUUUAUGAAGCCAGAUAUGAGAAUUACGUUGCUAUUUAAUGUGGUAGAGGGUCACCAUGAACUAUCUGAUUAUAUUGCUCUGCACCAACUAUUUGCUUCUAGACUUAUUAAUUACUUUACUGCACAUCCUGAGGUAUUGCUUUGUCCCUAUAUCAGUUUUUCUUUUCUUAUUGACUUUUUGUUUUAAAGCCUCAUAUAAGACAUUUUCAAUCAAUGCCAUUACAAUUAGAAAACGUAUAUCGUUGAUUGUUGAUGAGCGAUGAAUCUGUUGGACGAAUAGGAAUUUAAGAUUGCAAUUUAUAUGUUUGCAAUGCACCAAUUACAAAAUUACAACUGCUUUGAUUCAGUCUACAACAUACUGUAUUAUAAGAGUAAAGUUUGUUGUCUUGGGACAUGUUCUUUGAAGAACAAUGCUAUAUUUAUACAGCAUUGAAGAUAUGGAAAUGCACUUGUACAAGUGCUGAUUGUAAUCAUCAACGGGGAUGCCAGCCAUCUAUUUUAUUCAUGGUUGGAGGGUGACACUAAAUUGAACGGUAUGACUGACUGGACCUUAAAAUUCUCCUCUCUCAUGCAAGUCUUUUUCAGUUCAGGCUUAGCUUUCUGCUUCUUGACUUGAUUUGUUUGGUUCAAUAUAUAUAAAUAUAUAUUUAGCAUCAUUGCAGUUGACGUUAUCUAAGUUUUGAAGAACCGAAGACACGCUUUAUUUAUUUGGUUUUUUUUGCAGGCUUGUGACAUUCCAGAGGCUAUGUUGCCAGAUCCAUUUGAGCAAAGCAAAGAGACUGCUUCUGGGGGCAAGAUCAGUAACAUUCCAGAGGUAAUAUUUCCAAAGCCUCUUAGCCAAAUUGGUGAAACUGCUGCUCCAGAGAAAUUGCUUGCAAAUUCUUCAACAGAAGACCUACAGAUUGCCAUUGAGAAUGAACUGCUGUCAAAAUCAUCCCAUAUGCAUACAUCUUUCAUCAGGCACUUCUCUGAGAAGGUUGUUAACGACAAAGAGAAGACCCAACUAUUAGCUUCUGCAGUUCCUUUGUCAUAUGUGGCACCUUAUAAUUUGAAGAAUCAAGAUACUGAAAUUGUGAAAACUAGAGAAUUUCCUGAUCUGAGUUCCAAAUUUGAUAGUGGGACCAAUCUGGACACCAAAUAUGAGAAAUUAAAAGAGUCUCCUGGCACAAAUUCCAAAUAUACCUCCAUACAACCUAUGCAUAUUCAAGCAAGCAAUCCUCAAUUCUGUGUUAAUAGCAAUGCUUGUGCAAGCCCCCUCUGCAAGCUUGCCUCAUCUGCUGAUAAUUUAAUGGUGGAAACGCCUGCACAGUCAACUCCAAAGAGGGUAACGCCAAAUAGUGAUGAUAACCAUAAGGGCAUAGCCAGCAAAAAGCAGACAUCAUCUUGUAAGGCUGCAAAGAGGUCCUUAGACUUUUCAUUCUUUGAAGGUGAUGAGUCAGAGUACUGUGAAGUUUUACCAGAAAACGUCUCUCAGAUUCUGAAUGUUUCUUCUGCAAAACUUCAAGAGGAAGAGGAGGGACUAGGAUGUGCUGCUGAGGAACAUGAAAUGAAUCAACCAGAUUUAUUGCAUCAGCAGAAUUCUAUUUACUUGCCUGGCCUGGUUUCUUUGAUUCAUCACAUAUUCCAGUCUGUGAACUAUUGUCCAAUCACAAAGGAGGAACUUGUGCAUAAAAUUAUCAUGAACAGUUUUGAUUUUGAUGAAAGAAAGCAAGUCGAAGAGCAGAUUGAGAUUCUUGAAAAGCUGGUUCCAGAUUGGAUUUGUACGAAGCUUGCACCUACAGGAGAUGUUUUGUACAGGUGGAUGUACCAUAUUUCCUUUUAAACUUUCACGUGACUUCUAAGAAUUAAGUGCCAUAAAGACAUAAGAAAAAUAUAAAGAUGAACGUACUUGGGGCUCUUUGGAUAGAAAUGUAUGUGUCCGUUACGGGAAACAUCUUAACUAUUCAAGUAUCUUAAUUGCCCAAAUGAAUCCAGCAGGGAUUCAGGGUAAAGAAAAUGCAACAUUUCCUUUUAGAAGGUAGAAUUAGUUUCAUUGGCUUAUGUGGAAGGAAGAAUGUUCAAGCCUUUUAAAUCUAGAUGUCAUUUAUGGGAGAAAUUUUAGAAUACAAUCGUCGUAAGUAUAAUGGUUUUAUUAUAACUAUCGAUUAUGGUGGAUACCAGUGGAUCUCGUCAUAAUCAUCGUAAUCAAUACAUCUAUCCAUUGUAUACAACUGUUGCAUGGAAUAAUUUCUCGACAUUUGGACUAUGCUACGUCUUUCUUACCUUUUUUUCAUUUUUGAAUGUUAAAAGUUAUUUUCUUUUGUGUCUAUGAUUUACAUUCUUUCGUCUUGUGCAGCAUCAAGAAAUUGUCAGACUUGAACUCUGUUGAGUCUAGGGCUGUCAUCACAUAACAACUCUUAAAGGGGUAUAAUUGAUUAUGCUUGCAGAUAUCUGAUUAGAAGAUGAUGGAUUUUAGAAACUGUUUUCCUUUGUAAUGCAAGGCUAAUGUCACAGACAUUUGUAUUUUGUAUGAUGUGUUUAUUUAACAAAAAUUUUAAAAAUUAAGAAAUUUGUUAAAAACAAUUUAAAACGUAUUAAUCAUUACAUUUAUUUUAAAAUGAAAAGAUAUUUU
rnacentral:misc_RNA from 1 species